UACGUAGGGUGCGAGCGUUGUUCGGAAUCAUUGGGCGUAAAGCGAGAGUAGGUGGUUUGCUAAGUCGGGUGUGAAAUCCCUGGGCUCAACCCAGGAAGUGCAUUCGAAACUAGCUCACUUGAAGAUGGUAGAGGAAGGUGGAAUUCCAAGUGUAGAGGUGAAAUUCGUAGAUAUUUGGAGGAAUACCGGCGGCGAAGGCGGCCUUCUGGACCAUUCUUGACACUGAGACUCGAAAGCGUGGGUAGCAAACAGA
rnacentral:rRNA from 1 species